rnacentral:rRNA from 1 species
ACGAACGCUGGCGGCAUGCCUAAUACAUGCAAGUUGCACGAUGAUGUUCUCUGCUUCCAGAGAAUUGAAGAGUAGCGAACGGGUGAGCAACACGUGGGGAACCUGCCCAUGAGAGGGGGAUGACAUUCGGAAACGGAUGCUAAUACCGCAUAAUGCUUUGGACCGCCUGGUCCAGAGACGAAAGACGGCUUUUGCUGUCACUCAUGGAUGGCCCCGCGCCGUAUUAGCUAGUUGGUGAGGUAAUGGCUCACCAAAGCUGUGAUACGUAGCCGACCUGAGAGGGUGAUCGGCCACACUGGGACUGAGACACGGCCCAGACUCCUACGGGAGGCAGCAGUAGGGAAUCUUCCACAAUGGGCGAAAGCCUGAUGGAGCAAUGCCGCGUGAAUGAAGAAGGUCUUCGGAUCGUAAAGUUCUGUUAUUAGAGAAGAACAAGUCAAGGAAUAACUGUCUUGACUUUGACGGUACCUAACCAGAAAGUCACGGCUAACUACGUG